GACAGCCAUACAACGUUGAAACACCGUUUCUCUUACGAUCACUGAAGUUAAGCAACGUCGAGUCUUGUCAGUACCUAGAUGGAUGUCUGCUCGGGAAUACCACAUGCUGUAA